AUUGAACGCUGGCGGCAGGCCUAACACAUGCAAGUCGAACGAGUGGCGGAUGGGUGAGUAAUGUCUGGGACACUGCCUUAUGGAGGGGGAUAACUACUGGUAAUGGUAGCUAAUAUCGCAUACCAUCAGAUGUGCCCCGAUGGGAUUAGCUUGUUGGUGGGGUCACGGCUCACCUAGGCGACGAUCCCUAGCUGGUCUGAGAGGAUGACCAGCGACACUGGAAGGGAGACACGGGCCAGGCGCCUACGGGAGGCAGCAGUGGGGAAUAUUGAGCAAGGGGCGGAGACCUGAGGCAGCCAGGCGACGUGUAUGAAGAAGGCCGUCGGGUUGGAAAGGACUGUCAUCGGGGAGGCGUUACCCGCAGAAGAAGCAACGGCUAAAUCCGUGCCAGCAGCCGCGGUAAUAC
rnacentral:rRNA from 1 species